GCAUACACAUAUACAUUUUCUCUUCUUUUUGAUAGAGAAAUGUAACUACUAAAUGGAGAGGUCAAAAUUCAGAAGUUGUAUAUUGGGGAAGUUUGGUAAUGGUAGCAUCUACAAUCUUCAAUCAUGUAUUUUUUUUUUUCAAUCAUGUUUUAAAGUUUAGUUUUAUCAAAAUCCAUAUUCUUUACAAUGUUAGUUGGGAAAUGAUAUUUUGUUUUGUUUUAAACAUGUGGAAACUGUAAAAUAGAUAUGAUAUUGUUAUCACAGUCAUUCAUCAUAUUUUA
rnacentral:lncRNA from 1 species